UACGUAGGGAGCGAGCGUUGUCCGGAUUUACUGGGUGUAAAGGGAGCGUAGACGGCGAUGCAAGCCAGAUGUGAAAGCCCGGGGCUCAACCCCGGGACUGCAUUUGGAACUGUAUAGCUAGAGUGUCGGAGAGGCAGGCGGAAUUCCUAGUGUAGCGGUGAAAUGCGUAGAUAUUAGGAGGAACACCAGUGGCGAAGGCGGCCUGCUGGACGAUGACUGACGUUGAGGCUCGAAAGCGUGGGGAGCAAACAGG
rnacentral:rRNA from 1 species